rnacentral:rRNA from 1 species
AAGGGGAUCUUCGGACCUUUCGGUUAAGGGAGAGUCUAUGGGAUAUCAGCUUGUUGGUGGGGUAAUGGCCUACCAAGGCUUUGACGUCUAGGCGGAUUGAGAGAUUGACCGCCAACACUGGGACUGAGACACUGCCCAGACUUCUACGGAAGGCUGCAGUCGAGAAUCUUUCGCAAUGGACGAAAGUCUGACGAAGCGACGCCGCGUGUGUGAUGAAGGCUCUAGGGUUGUAAAGCACUUUCGCUUGGGAAUAAGAGAGAUUGGCUAAUAUCCAAUCGAUUUGAGCGUACCAGGUAAAGAAGCACCGGCUAACUCCGUGCCAGCAGCUGCGGUAAUACGGAGGGUGCUAGCGUUAAUCGGAUUUAUUGGGCGUAAAGGGCGUGUAGGCGGAAAGGAAAGUUAGAUGUUAAAUCUUGGGGCUCAACCCCAAGCCAGCAUCUAAUACUAUCUUUCUAGAGGGUAGAUGGAGAAAAGGGAAUUCCACGUGUAGCGGUGAAAUGCGUAGAUAUGUGGAAGAACACCAGUGGCGAAGGCGCUUUUCUAAUUUACACCUGACGCUAAGGCGCGAAAGCAAGGGGAGCAAACAGGAUUAGAUACCCUGGUAGUCCUUGCCGUAAACGAUGCAUACUUGAUGUGGAUAGUCUCAACCCUAUCCGUGUCGUAGCUAACGCGUUAAGUAUGCCGCCUGAGGAAUACACUCGCAAGGGUGAAACUCAAAAGAAUUGACGGGGGCCCGCACAAGCAGUGGAGCAUGUGGUUUAAUUCGAUGCAACGCGAAGAACCUUACCUGGGCUUGACAUGUAUUUGACCGCGGCAGAAAUGUCGUUUUCCGCAAGGACAGAUACACAGGUGCUGCAUGGCUGUCGUCAGCUCGUGCCGUGAGGUGUUGGGUUAAGUCCCGCAACGAGCGCAACCCUUAUCGUUAGUUGCCAACACUUAGGGUGGGAACUCUAAUGAGACUGCCUGGGUUAACCAGGAGGAAGGCGAGGAUGACGUCAAGUCAGCAUGGCCCUUAUGCCCAGGGCUACACACGUGCUACAAUGGCCAGUACAGAAGGUAGCAAUAUCGCAAGAUGGAGCAAAUCCUCAAAGCUGGCCCCAGUUCGGAUUGUAGUCUGCAACUCGACUACAUGAAGUCGGAAUUGCUA